rnacentral:rRNA from 1 species
AUUGAACGCUGGCGGCAUGCCUUACACAUGCAAGUCGAACGGUAACAGGUCUUCGGAUGCUGACGAGUGGCGAACGGGUGAGUAAUACAUCGGAACGUGCCCGAUCGUGGGGGGUAACGAAGCGAAAGCUUUGCUAAUACCGCAUACGAUCUACGGAUGAAAGCAGGGGACCGCAAGGCCUUGCGCGAACGGAGCGGCCGAUGGCAGAUUAGGUAGUUGGUGGGAUAAAAGCUUACCAAGCCGACGAUCUGUAGCUGGUCUGAGAGGACGACCAGCCACACUGGGACUGAGACACGGCCCAGACUCCUACGGGAGGCAGCAGUGGGGAAUUUUGGACAAUGGGCGAAAGCCUGAUCCAGCCAUGCCGCGUGCAGGAUGAAGGCCUUCGGGUUGUAAACUGCUUUUGUACGGAACGAAAAGACUCUGGUUAAUACCUGGGGUCCAUGACGGUACCGUAAGAAUAAGCACCGGCUAACUACGUG